rnacentral:misc_RNA from 1 species
CUGCUGAAUACUAGUUUUAAAGUCGAUAACUGCCAGCUGUCAGUUAAUAUUUUUCAAAAAUUACGAAAAAUAUCCAUCCUGAACUAGAUCUUAGUAUUUAAUAGCCAAGAGCAACCUCCAGCAUCCACCCUAUCCAUCACCUAAAGAGGUAGAAGCAUAUAAUUUUUUCCUGACAGGAAGGGUCCCGGCAUUGCAUUCAAGUCAAAACCUAAACAAGCCAGACUACGAAAGAAACAACUACGACUAAUUAGAAGGUCAGGAUCGAGAUCGGAUCGAGCGGCCUCUAAGCUUCCACGUCAGUGUUCGACUUCUUGGCAGGAGAAGAAAUGACCCACACUAACCCAUAAGGAUCCUUAACCUUGCCCACGCGCCCAGCACCGCAGCAUGCUCCAUCGCCCUCGAGAAUCUCCCCCUCGGCGACUGCUCCCGCGGCCACGGCCUUGGAUAUAGCAGCUUCAGCAUCCUCGGUCUCCAAGCAGACAGUGAUUCCGGUUCCCCCAGUCUUCACCGGUGCAGAGUCAUCAGCGAGGUCAGAUACAAUAAUGGUUGAACCAGCGAGCUGAAGCUGAGCUGAGAUGAUGUGAGGGAGCUCCUGUUCAGCCUUGCGCUUGGGCUGAGUGGUACGACCAGUUUCCACGGCUCCAAACGCUGCCUUGUAGAACUGCACGGCGUCAUUUGCCUUUGGUGCCUCAACCAACACCUGCAGCUUCACGGCGGUAAAAGUUAUCUCAGCAUCAGCCUUGAUGGAGUCUCCGUUCUGGG